rnacentral:rRNA from 1 species
CAGUCGCCGCGGUAAUACGAAGGGGGCUAGCGUUGCUCGGAAUGACUGGGCGUAAAGGGCGCGUAGGCGGCUCGCACAGUCAGAUGUGAAAUUCCUGGGCUUAACCUGGGGGCUGCAUUUGAUACGUGUGGGCUAGAGUGUGAAAGAGGGUCGUGGAAUUCCCAGUGUAGAGGUGAAAUUCGUAGAUAUUGGGAAGAACACCGGUGGCGAAGGCGGCGACCUGGUUCAUGACUGACGCUGAGGCGCGAAAGCGUGGGGAGCAAACAGGAUUAGAUACCCGAGUAGUCCCUGUCUCUUAUAC